GUUUAAAAGAUGGGUUCUGCUAUCACUCUUGGGAUGGGACCCUGCGGUGCAUUAGCUAGUUGGUAGGGGUAACGGGCCUACCAAGGCGAUGAUGCAUAGCCCGAGUUGAGAGACUGAUCGGGCCACAUUGGGGACUGAGACACGGGCCCAAAACUCCGUACGGGGAGGCAGCAGUAGGGAAUCCUUCCACAAUGGACGCAAGUCUGAUGGAGCAACGCCGCGUGAGUGAAGUAAGGGUUUCGGCUACGUAAAGCUCUGUUGUUGGUGAAGAAGGACGAGGGGUAGUAACUGACCUUUGUUUGACGGUAAUCAAUUAGAAGUCACGGCUAACUACGUGCCAGCAGCCGCGGUAAU
rnacentral:rRNA from 1 species